UACGGGGGGGGCAAGCGUUGUUCGGAAUUACUGGGCGUAAAGGGCUCGUAGGCGGCCAACUAAGUCAGACGUGAAAUCCCCAGGCUCAACCUGGGAACUGCGUCUGAUACUGGAUGGCUUGAAUUCGGGAGAGGGAUGCAGAAUUCCAGGUGUAGCGGUGAAAUGCGUAGAUAUCGAGAGGAACACCUGCGGCGAAGGCGGGUUGCUGGGCUGACACUGACGCUGAGGCGCGAAAGCUAGGGGAGCGAACGGG
rnacentral:rRNA from 1 species